rnacentral:rRNA from 1 species
AGAUUGAACGCUGGCGGCAGGCCUAACACAUGCAAGUCGAGCGGUAGAGAGGUGCUUGCAUCUCUUGAGAGCGGCGGACGGGUGAGUAAUGCCUAGGAAUCUGCCUAGUGGUGGGGGAUAACGUUCGGAAACGGACGCUAAUACCGCAUACGUCCUACGGGAGAAAGCGGGGGACCUUCGGGCCUCGCGCCAUUAGAUGAGCCUAGGUCGGAUUAGCUAGGUUGGUGAGGUAAUGGCUCACCAAGGCGACGAUCCGUAACUGGUCUGAGAGGAUGAUCAGUCACACUGGAACUGAGACCACGGUCCAGACUCCGUACGGGGAGCCAGCAGCGGGGAAUAGUU